UGGGGAAUAUUGCGCAAUGGAGGCAACUCUGACGCAGCCAUGCCGCGUGUGUGAAGAAGGCCCUCGGGUUGUAAAGCACUUUCAAUUGGGAGAAAAAGCUUGUCGUUAAUAGCGGCAAGCCUUGAUGUUACCUUUUAGAAGAAGCACCGGCUAACUCCGUGCCAGCAGCCGCGGUAAUACGGAGGGUGCGAGCGUUAAUCGGAAUUACUGGGCGUAAAGCGCGCGUAGGCGGUUGCUUAAGUCGGAUGUGAAAGCCCCGGGCUCAACCUGGGAACUGCAUUCGAUACUGGGCGACUAGAGUACGAGAGAGGGAGGUAGAAUUCCACGUGUAGCGGUGAAAUGCGUAGAUAUGUGGAGGAAUACCGGUGGCGAAGGCGGCCUCCUGGCUCGAUACUGACGCUGAGGUGCGAAAAGCGUGGGGAGCAAAACAGGAUUAGAUACCCUGGUAGUCCACGCCGUAAACGAUGUCAACUAGCCGUUGGGAGGUUGCCUCUUAGUGGCGCAGCUAACGCGAUAAGUUGACCGCCUGGGAGUACGGUCGCAAGAUUAAAACUCAAAGGAA
rnacentral:rRNA from 1 species